ACGUAAAAAUUUUAUCUUUAUUGAUACAUAGCUUGAACAUUCCAUCACAAGAGUAUCCCUUGCCUACAAAUACACCAUUCAUAGAGAAGACAACCUUAUUAGAUUCUAGUAUAGCCUUUAGCUCCUUUUUGUUUAAGGCAUCAGCCAACACAAGAUUUUUCCUAAUUUCUGGAACACGAAGUACAUUGACCAAUAUAAGUUUCUUUCCAGAAGUAAAUUACAAGUCUACACUUCCUUUGCCAAGAACCUUUGUUGUAUUAUGGUUUCCCAUCAAUACUUCAUGACCAUCAGGAACUUCUUCAUAAGUCUUGAACUGGGACUUAUCAUCACAAACGUGGACGGUGGCACCAGAAUCAUACCACCAGUCACAUGAUUUGGUUGCAGCAGCCACAUGCAACUCAGAAAUCAGGCCAAUGCUCCAAUGUGAAACCAUUGUAACGAUCUCAGCAACUUCUUGUUCAACCAAAUUUGCAUUUUUGGCAUUGUCUUUACUUUGCUUUUUGUUGCAAUCUGCCUUGCAUUCAUGCUUUAACUAAGGAUUAUUUUUUCUAUUUUUUCUAAUAAUCUUUCUACUUGUUUAUAAGAUUCUUUUAAUUCUAAAGAUCUUUCUUUAAUUUCUUCUAAUAUUUUCUUAUUUACUCUUUCUAUAUAUUUUUUUUGUUCUUUUCGAAUAUUUUUUAGUUCUUCAAGAUGUUUAAAUUUUUCCAAUAUUUUAUUAUUUUGUUCUUUUAUAUAAGCUUGAUUGUCUGCUAGUUUUUUAAUUAUUUUAUUUUUCUCUCCUAUACUGUUGAUUAUUAAUUCUUUUAUUCGGAUAUCACUUUCUUUAUGCUUUUCCAAAUUUUCUCCUAAAGAUAUAAUUAAGUCUACCAGACUAUUAUAAUUUUUAUCUUCUAUACUAUGUAAGUGAUGUUUAUAAAUAUUAUUAAAGUAGCAAAUAUGUUUAUGUUUAUCUAAUGUUACUAAAUUUCUAGAUUUAUUAAAUAUUUCUAAAUUUAAGUAUUCUAAUUUUUUAUCUAUAUUUUCUAUUUAUCAGGCCAACCAGGUCGGUCAGCUCUGAUACCAAACUACUAGGUAAACUAGGUAAACUACUAAGCUACUAGGUAAACUAGGUAAACUACUAAGUUCCGGUUUAAACUAGGUAAACUACUAAGCUCCAGUUAAAGACCUGGUUAAAGACCUAUAUUGAUUAAUCUAAUGUUCCACAAAUCUUAUUACAAAAAUUUCUUUUAUUUUUGUAUUUUUCCUUUUCUUCAAAUUUUUGUCUUUCUACGGAUUUCAAUUCAGAAUAUUUGUGCCAAAGUAAAUCUACUUUUGUUUGUCUAAUAUUUCUAAGAAAUGAUCGCGGAUCGUGAUGGAUGACUCUGUUAAGGCUAUAUUGUUCUAUGUCUAAAUUUGCUAAACACUGUUCUACUGAUUCUAUUUGGUCUAGUCUGUAAUAAAAACUAUAAUAUCCUUCAGGACUUUUGAUAGUUUCUAAAGCCAACCAAUAUGCGUGCUCUGGUGUACUUGUAUAAUUAUAUGGUGGUUGGUUAUCAAAAUUCAUAAAAUUAUUCAAAAAUAUUCAAUCUAUUAUAUGAGGAUUUGGUACUUUAAGAGAAAUUUUUGAAAUUAUACCUUCCUUGCUGAGCUUUUUCUUAAAAGAUCUCCGAUUCUUUAGAGUUACGAAUCCUUUGACAAAGUUUUGCCUCACUCGAUCUUCCCGAAUGCCUUUAAACGCCUUCAACAGCUAACACGGCUUGAGUGGUAGUACACAGUCUUUUGGGCUUUUUGGAUUUCUCCCUUUGUCUAAGGGUAUCUUCUCUCAGGGUAUCUCUCUAAAUUUUAAGGUUAAGCUCUUUGGGGUUGGCUGCAACUAAUUUCUAUUCUUUUGUUUCCCAUUUCUCUCUAUUUUGAUCAAGGAUAUAUGAGAAAGAUGUGAAGAAAAGUAUAUGUAUUCACAAGAAUUUACAAGAUGAUUUUCUUAUGCUCAGGUUUCUCACAAGAGUUCAUCGUGUUUGAUGAAUGAGAACUCUGAGAUAUUUAUAGUCUACUUCCGGACUUGAAAUUCCGGAUUUAUGUUCCUAUCUAUACAGAUUUCAGUAUUGUUGGAAUCUGGAUAUAUGGCCGACAAGAUAAAUAUGCUAAUCUAUUCAAAUCAUCUUUUGAAAAAAGAAUGCCUUCCAGCUGGUUGCUUUCUUGUUAUGAUUAGUCGGCAAAACUUGGUGUUUGUGUCCCACCUAUGUCCUUCUUCUUAUCCUUCCAUCUGAUUUUCCAGAUUAUGGAGUUCGUCUGGUCCCAUGCUUUCAAAAUAAUGAGUUGUAUCAUAAUCUUCUGGAUCAAAAGGACCUUUUGGUGUGUCGUAUGCUAAGUAAUCUUCUAAAUAACUCUGAAAUAAUUCUUCAUCCACCAUUGUUUCUUCAAAAUCUUUUUCCAGGAAAUAUAUAUUUGGAAUAUAAAUUUUUUGAAUUCUAUUUUCUAAUGCUAACUUGUAAUGAUUCCAUUCUGCUUUGAAAUGUUUAUAUGCUAGAUUUAGCAUUCUGUUUCUUUUAAGCUGUUCUUUUAAUGAUAAGGGACAUUCAACAAUAUUUGUUUUUAAUCUUUGUACUUCUUCUGUAGUCAAUCUCCCCGGAUGACAGUUGCUAACUGUUAAUCUUAUUCUAUGGACUGUUGGUGCUAUGUCUAACAAUCCAAUCCAUUCUGCUGGGGCUGAUCUGAUUUCAAUCCUUACCCAUUCUCCAAAGUCGAGUAACCUUCUGGCAAAGUAUCCGAGAUGGGUCCCCAACCUGUAUGUGUCUUCUGGAUCAUUUAUCCAAAUAUUUUCAAGGAAUCCACAAUCUAGUAGAAAUUGAGGGGUGAGAACCACUCUUUCUCCAUUGACAUAUAGUACCGAAGGAUUGGUAUAUCUAUGUAAUGCUAAAGAUGCUUUUAAGAAGUAAAAAUCAAGGGUAUGAAUACAAUGAUUAUUUAUUUUGCUAUGGUUACAUGGUUCUGGGUUAUUUGGGCAAAAUUUGUGUGGAUUAAUCCAAUAAGAAGGGCUAAAACAAAUUCUACUUGUUGGGCUAUAACUUGUGGCUAGGUUCAGAAAAUGAUUUUGUACUGCUUGUAUUUUUGAAAAAUGUUGGGCUUGGACUUUUUGUCCAAUUAUUUCUAUGGUUGGGUAAGGAAUAGGUUCUAAAACUGUGUAGGGUUUGAAAAAUAGUCUGGGCUUAAGAAGGCUUAAAGGCCUUUCAUAUUCAGGCUUUUCAAAAUUUGGGCCGGAGGAAGAACUGACCGUAUGAGAUGUUAUCUGUGAUAACCUUCCUUUUAGCUCUCCCAAUUCUGAUAUUUGUGAGAGAAUAGUGCCGCUUUGUGACCCUACAAUCCCAUGCAUUUCUUUGAGUUGUUUUGUCAAGGAAUCAAUUUGAGCUUUUUGUAUCUUAAUCUCAUCCUCGUAAACCCUGCAUUUCUCAUUUAUUCUUCUAAAAUUAUUUACCAUACUAUCACAAUGUCUGUAGAAUUGUAAAUUUCUACUUUUAUCAAAUUCUACUGCAUCUAAAUAACUACUACUACUUCCAGGAGUUUGAGAAGGUCCUGGUAUUUUUGUACUAUCCAUGCUAGCCUUAGUAUCUACAUGAAAUGAUAUACCAAUAUUUUUUCUAGCAAAUUCUAAUGCUUCAUGAAUGUUAUGAAAAGCUUUCCAAAGAGGGUUUUGAAAAUUUUUAAUUUGUUCUAUUACUGAAAUCCACUUAGAGUAAAUUCUAGGUGUUCUUCCUUGUACUACUACAUACUAUGAAAAAUUUUGUUUUGGAAGAUUGCUAAAAUAAAAUGCUAAGGUAUUUAACAUUCUAAUUUUUUGUGCUACAUUAGUGCUAUUCAUGUUCCAGAGGUUAUUUAAGAUAUCCUGCUGGAUUUCUUCUAGAUUGCCUUCUUCAGUGCUACGAAAAUAUACACUAGUACCUUUGGGAUACUUUGUCAGUUCCCAUUGUCCAAGCUUUACCCUGCUACCUUGUGCCAUAUUGUUUCUGAAAAUCACAGAAUUUAUGAGAAUUGUCGGGAUAAAAAAUCAGCUAAGCUAUUAUUACUACCUUUAAUACGUUCAAAUUGUACUUUAUACCCAUUACCAAUUAUUCUAUCUGUAAAAUUUAACCAUCUCCUAGUACUACUUCUUUUUUCAUUGUAAGUGUCAUAAAACUUUUUUAUAGCUUCACAAUCUAUUCUAAUAGUUAUUUCUGGUUUAUUUAUAAUAAAAAGUUUGAAAUUAUCUAAGGCAUAUACUACUGCUAAUAAUUCGGCAUCAAUGCUACUUAUAUUAACUUUUUUCUCUAUAAUUACCACUAGCAUAACUACAAAUUUGUUCUUCUUCUUUCUUGCUAUAUUUGUGCGGUUUUGCUAUUAAGAUUGCCCUCCAUCCUUUAUUACUUCCAUCACAUUCUAUAAUUAAAUAGUCUGUAUCUAAUGGCAAUGUUAAAUCUGGUAAUUUAUUAACAACAUUUUUUAUUUCUUGUACUAAUUUUAUAUCUUCUUUAUUAAAGAAUUUUUGUCCUUUUAAAGAUGUUUUACUGUAUAAUGGUGCUACUAAAUUAUUUAAAUUUUUAAUGAAGGGUCUAGCAUAAUUUAGUAACCCUAGAAAUUUUUGUAACUUUUUUGUUUCUUCUAUUUUAUCUGGGAAUUCUAAGACUUUUUUACAAAUAUGUGAUUGUAAUUUGAUUUUACCUUGUCCAAUUUCUGUUCCUAGAAAUUCUAAUUGUUUUUUCUAAAAACUGAGCUUUCUUUGAGCUAAUUACUAUACCAUGCUUAAUGAAUUCUGCAAAGACUAAUUUUAAAUGACUCACAUGUUCUUCUUUAUUUUUAGAAAAUACUAAUAUAUCAUCUAUAUAAACAAUUACAAAACUAUUAUAUUUUCUAAAAAUAUCAUCCAUUUUACGUUGAAAUAUUGCUGGUGCACUUUUUAAUCCAAAAGGCAUUACUAACCAUUCAAAAUGUCCUAAGGGACAAGUAAAAGUUGUCCAUUCUAUACUAUUAGGAUGCAUUUUAACCUGCCAGAAUCCUGAUUUGCAGUCAAAUUUACUGAAAAUAUAUUUAUAUUGGAUUCUAUUUAUUAAUUAAUUUUUAUCUGAUAUGUCAUAACUAUCUUCUUUAGUGUUAUCAUUCAACCUUUUAUAAUUUAUCACCAUUCUACUCUUUCCUCUAACAAUUUCACUAUGUUUUCUAACUAUAAACGCUGCACUUCUAUGAGGGCUUUCACUUCUUCUAAUUAUUUUUAAUUUGUUUAAGUCUACUAUAUGCAUUUCAAAUUCUUUUAUAUCUUCAUUACUAGCUUCUAUUUUGGCUGUGCUUAUUUUUAAAUUUGGGUUUAAAAGUUCUAAUUUACAAAUUGUUUUAUCUUUUUCCCAAUGUAAAGUAGGAUUUUCCCCAAAUAUUUCUAAUAUUUCUAAUUUGCUAAUUAAUUAGUCUAUUUCAUAAUAUCCUGUUUCUAACAAAUUAUAGACCUGACUGUUUUCUAAAAAGUCUAUGCAUAUUUCCAAAGUGUUAUAAUCAUCUAAUUCUAUAUUUAAGCAUUGACAAUCAUUUUUAUUAUUACAAUUACAAUAUUCUUCUGAAAAGUCUCCUUUGAUUAUUUUGUUAAUUUGUUUAUUAAUAAACUUAUCAUCUUCUAUUUCCUUUUUAUUCCUAGUAUCAGUUAAUGGUUCACCACGCUUUUGUGCAAACUCUGAUAGGUAAGGUGUAAAUGAUAAAGAUGCUUCUCUGAGAAAUUGUAAAUUAUUACGAGUAAGAAUCAUAGCAUAAUAAGAUUGUAAAAUAAAUGCUAAUCCUAUAAUAAGAUUAAAAGGAAAUGUUCUAAGAUAAACUUCUUCUACAAAAUAAGGAUGUGAAAAAUUGUAAUUUUCUUGUUGAAAAGACAUAUAUAUAUAUAUUUUGUAUAGAUUUAUUAUAUUCAAAAGUUGCACUAUCCAUUUGUCUAGCUAUUCUAAUUCUUCUGGCUUUUUUAUGAUAUUGUUGUGGUAUUAAUAAUUCAUUUAUUAUUAUAUUACUAGCUCCUGUAUCUAUUAUUGCUGGAAUAUGUAUUUCAAAGUCUCCGAUAAUAAUUCUAACCAUUAAUUCUACUGAUGCAAUCUUAUUAUCUGUAUUUAGUAUUUCUGUAUCAUAAUUAUGUUUUAAGAUUUCUGAAGAGAUUUCUAAAUCUGUAUUUUCUAUAUCAAUAUUCUUUCUUUCUUCUCUAUGGAAUGUGAGGAGUUGUUCUUCUAAAUGUUGUAUUUUUUGUUGUAAGGCGUCCUGUUUAUUUUCUAAAAUUCUUAUUCUUCUUUCUAAAUGAUGUUCAACAGGUUCAUCAUUUUUAUGUUUUUCUGGAGUUUCUAUAUUAAUAUGUGUAAUAUGGAAAAUUUUUCUAAAUAGUAUUUACAGUAUAUAUAGGAGGCUGAACCUAGUAAAUCUCAAGCUCCAUUCAUAUAAAAUAUAUAUAUAUAUGAAUUAUUAUUCUCAACAUUUUUAUAGUGUAGAAUUUUUUCAUGAAUUUCUAUAAAUUGUAUCAAGAAACAAUUAUGGGCGUACGUUCAUUGGUUUUGCUUACAAUUUUGGUCAUAUACAGUUACUAUUAAUUACUAACUAAUUAGUCCCUAAUAAUUAAUGGUCUAGAUAGUAAUAAUUAAAAGUCUAUAAUUUAUCAAAUUUAAUUAUUAAGAGUUAUAAUAUAUACUUAUCAUUAUCAUUAGGCGAUGUGGCGAGGAAUCAAAAACUUUCCUCUAUGUUGUUUCAUACAUGGUGUUUUAGGGGAAAAAAUAGUAAAAAUUGUUUCAGGUUUUGAUUUGAGAAUAUAACUUUGCUUCUCCCUUACUAAGAUUUGUUAUUAACUUGAAUAUUGUUGUAAAGUUUGAAUUUUGAAUUUUGUUAUCCUCUAGUGUAUUAACAUUAAAUUGAAAUUCAUAGAUUAUGAAAUUUUGUAAUCAAAAUCUUAUUAUGAAAUCCACUAAUUAUUUUAUUAGAAAACAUGUCCUUUCAUCUUCUUUAUUUAAAAUUUCUGAAAUUUUUCAACAGAACAAUUACAUCAUCUAAACAUUAAAUAUUUUAUAUCUGCUAGUUAGAUUUUGUCUUAGAUUUUAAUUAAUUAAUUACUUUAGUAGAUGUAAUGGAAGAAUUGACUGCUGCUAUUUUUUGUAUGGAAAGAUGAAUAUUCUUCAUUAACAACUUUUAUUACUUAACUGAAUAUAUAUAUAUAUCAAACUCUUUUAAGCUAUUUUAAUUCUACACACAUAGAUAAUAGACCAUAUAAACAUAAGAAAACAAACCAUUGAACUAAAUGUAUUAAACAUCCAUAAGCAUCACAUCUUGCAGUCUAUGAAACGAUCCUAAGGCUUCAAAACCUUGAAUCACAAAAUUGAGAUCAAAUUCCUAAAGGAUCAAGGUUUUUCACUUUUUAACAACAGACUUUUUCAUAGAUAAUUAAAAAGGGAAAAAACAAAUAAGGCCUCCGUUAUGAGAGAAAGCAACAAUUAUUAAUGUUAAACAAAAACCAGAAGGCAAGUAUAUAAACACUUACACUCUAGAAGCAAGUACCAAUAAUUAAUUAGCGUAAAAAGAGAUAUAAUUUGGGGAAAUAGAUCUACUUUUGAAGAUGAUUUUGUGUGAAUUUCUUGAGGUAAUUUUUCAUAUACUCAAGAACGAAAUGCAAAAUAAUCCUCUCCUGAUUAUGACCUUGUUUAACAGUUAUCAACCUAUUUCUAGCAAUUCCCAAAUAGUAAAAUAAAUUCAUCAAGCAAUCCACCAGUCUCAUUUAUAAAUCUAAGAAAAAAGUUCAAAAAAAUAUGUUGAACAAAAAAUAUUAAGUGGGCAUUCAAGCAAGGAAGAAAAGAAGUAUGAGCAAUUGGAUAAAGUUUUUUUAGUAGUAGAGCAAUACAACCAUAAAACACAUUAAGCAGAAGCAAAUGAACGGUCAUUUGUUCCCUUGUCCAAGCCAAGGAAAAGGAAAAAGGCACUAGUUCCAGAAAGAAAUUUAUCCACAAGUUGUCUGAUUCAGUCCAAAAAGAAAAUUUAUCCACAGUCUCUUGCAUGUUUGUGAUGAGAAAAUGGUUUUUUAUUUUAGAUAAUACAAAUCUUGAGCUACAUAAACCUUGGUGACAAGGGUUACCUUAUCAGUUCAAGAUACCCUGAGUCAAAUCUAUACGUAGUGUUUACUCACUUCUGUACAUAGUUUUGAAAUUUUUCUUUACUAAUCAUGUAAUGAGAAGGUAAGUAGGGCUAUUCAACGUCUAAUAGAAAACAUUUAGUGUGUUUGGAUAGUAGAUUAUGGGGGAUAAUUUUUUGAAAAGAAAAUAUUGUAACACUUUUCUUAUAUGAUGCAUGUUAGAUAAAAAUAUGGUUGGAAAAAGUGUUGAUGAUGUAAAUAAAUAAUUUUUUAUAAAUAAUUCACUAUCCAAAAAAAAUAUUGAAUUCAUGUCACAUCUUGUUGUAUUUAGAAGAUAGUAUAUAUUAGAAUGACAAUAAAAUGUGCAAUAUAUAUUAAUAAAUAAUAUACAAUUAUAAAUGUACAAGAAGUAUACAUCUUUAGCUAUAGACACCAUCUAUAACAGAUUGGAAACCAAAAAAAUGGUAAUAAGAACCAAAUGAAUGAUAUAUAACUAUAUAUUGUUUGUCUUUUCUCCUUUUCUUUUUAUAGCACCUUAUAUACCUUAGUGGAACAUUGACAAGCUUAGAACCCCUGUAUUUUUGCGACUACACCAUUUUUUUUUUUUACUAUAAAAGAGAAGGCUCAAACCUGAAACCUCUCACUUACAUUCCCUCUCGGCCUCUCCCCCAAACCACCCAACUCAUUCUUUUCCUCCCCCUCCCCACCCCAACCCCUAUUACUUAUAAUCAAGAAUAAUCUCCUUUAAUUAUUCUUUAACUGUCGAAUUUUUCUCAUUGUGAAUCGCUUCCAUCAAUUAAAGUCUUAUUUAUAAAGCCACAAAAAUAAAUAAAUAUCUAUGUACCAAAUACCAUCAAUCUUAUUCGUAUCUACUUAUUUGUUUGUAUUAUUGCUCUUAGAAUAACUUUGAAGUGUAAAAAGAGAAGAUGUACUAAGAUUUACAUGGUAAACAAUGGGAGAGAGGAACUAAGUAAUCAGAAAACUAUGGGCAAUGUGUAUUUAACAUCCAAAGAAUCAGAAAGAAUUGAUCAAUAGGAUAACAAGAAGUAUAUCUUGACUAUUGGCUUAUUAGAUUCUAAAACAAUACGAAUGCAAGUUUAAAUUAAUUUAUUAGUGUAAUAUUGUUUUAAGUUUAAACUAACUAAUAAUUUGAGAUUAAACUGAGGAACCGCUAAGGAACUUUAUUUGGUUGGUACAUAUUCAUUUCUUUCUUCAACUCAAUCAUGCGAUAAAAAGUUCUAAAUACUGAUAGAAGCAAAUAGAAAAAAUACAAAAUUAAGUUGGCAAAAAUUUUGUAGGGUGUUCAUACCGAAUUAAAAUUCUUUUAGGGUCAAUAUCUCCUGAGUAUGGAACAAUUUAGUAAAUCCAAUUCGAUGAGAGCCAUAAUUGAUUUUGUACUCUGCUACAGUUGUAUAGAGUAGUAGAAGGCAUGAUGGAAUUUUUUCAACAAAAAGUCAAUUCAUAUAUCUUUAUAGAUAACUAUUUUUAUGCACUGUUAGCGUAAAAAUUAUUUUAUACUAGCAAACUUGAAUAUAUGCUAUCAUGUACAAAAAGUGUAUUUUAAAUUUAAACAAAGAUUGUGCGGUGUUCAUCUAAAUUUGCUAGUAUAAAAAUACUCUUACACUGAAAGUGUAUAAAGAUGAAUCCUAUACCUUUUAUCUCAUUUUUUUAUGAUAAUAACUAAGAGUGAUCAACCCACUCGAUUUUGGCUAUCAUUUAUUGUGAUAAUGGAAUUAUAGCUGAACACGAGAACCAUUUAUUGUGAUAUGGAUACUUCUAACCAAAUCCAUAUUGCAUGGGCAGUUUUUGAGUAUCAAGAAAAACUUGGGGAGUUAAUUAGGAAGACAUGAAAUUGUGGAGAACAGGGAAUGGCUGUGGAUUACGCCCUUCAAAUAUUUGCCACACAUUCUUCUUCGAGUGCUAACUGAGACGUGGACUUCUGGCAUAAUGCAUAACUCUCCAUCUCCAUUUGAAGACUUAAAUAAUCCAGUACCCUAUAUAUUUCCUCCAUCCCCGAGUCUAAAGCUUCUCCAGCUAAGAAUGCAUGCACUUUCUUCUUCACCUCAAUCCAACUCCGUCCAGGGCUUUUCUUCAGCCCCACUGUCUUUGCUGAGUGUCUUACUUUAGCAGAGUCCUCCCAUCUUCCCUGUGCAGCAUAUAAAUUAGAUAUCAACAUGUAACUCCCAGUCAUCUCAGGUUCAAGACCAAAAAUUUGAGCAGCAGUCUCUUCUGCAGCAUCUGUAUUUUUAUACAUUUUACAAGAGUUCAAUAGAGCUCCCCAAACACAUGCAUUCGGUUCAAUUGGCAUGUUUUUCACAAAGUCAAUUGCUUCCAGUACUAAGCCAGCACGGCCAAGCAGAUCAACCACGCAAGCAUAGUGUUCCAUCUGAGAUUCAAUUCGAAAAUCCCUAACCAUCUGGUCGAAAAGCUUGCGACCCUCUGCAACAAGACCUGCAUGACUACAUGCAGAAAGAACAGCAACAAAUGUAACCUUAUCAGGUUUAAAUCCUAUGUUGAUCAUGUUAUAAAAGAACUUUAAAGCAGUGUCACCAAGUCCAAGCAUCCCAUACCCAGCAAUCAUUGUAUUCCAUGAGAAUAGAUCCCUAGUACCUAAUCCUUCAAAUACUAAAUUAGCUUCCUCGGGGCAAGCGCAUUUCAUAUACAUAUUGAUCAAUCCAUUUCCUACCAAGACUUUUUUGUCUAGCAGAGUUCUGGUGACAUGGGCAUGGAUUUCUUUCCCUAGACAAUGUGCCGAUAACCCCGCACAAGCAGUCAAAGUACUAGCAAUUGUGACAGGGUUGCCUGCUACUUCAGCAAUCUGCAUUUGCCGAAAGAUUUCCAAAGACUCCUCAAACCGUCCCUUUGCGGCAAAUCCACUAAUAACAGCACUCCAAGUUAUUACAUUUGGUUUUAACUCUGCAUAACCAUCAUGUAACUUUCCCAUCUGUGAGAACAGAGCAAAAGCCUCGUCACAUAACCCUGAUUCAGCAUAGCAUGAUAUCAAAGCAUUCCAGCUGACUAUAUUCUUUGAUUCCAACCCUGAAAAUAAACUCUCUGCCUCUUUCGCAGCACAGUUUUUUCCACACACACAUAUCAACGAGUUUACAACAAAUGAAUAGUUGGAGAACCCACCCUUUAUAACAUAUCCAUGUAAGUUCGCAGCCGUGCAAAAUGCAUUCAUAUCAGCACAAACUGACAGAACCACUGCAACCGCUUCAGCCGUAACCUCAACACCUUUCUCCCUCAUCAUUCUGUACAAUCUUAAUGUCUCCUCACCACUCCCACAUUUACCAAAACUUGAUAACAAAGAAGUCCAAGUCACAGAAUUCGGCUCCCACCCUUCUAAUUCCAUCCUAUCAAACAUCUUAGAAGCAUUUUCACAGUCAGAAUUAUUUGCAAAACCAGACACCAUAACAUUCCAUGAAAUUUGAGUUCUCACAGGCAUUCUAUCAAACAAUUUACACGCAAUAUCCAUUCGCCCAAUCUUUCCAUACAUUCCCAACAACUCAUUGACAACAUGCAUGUGAUCUCGGAACCCCAAUUGGACCACGUGGCAAUGAACACUCGUACACAGUUUAUAGUUACUUUCGCCCACCAUGGCCCUACCGCUAGCCUUUACAAUUAAAGGAAAACCAAACCCAUCAGGCAAAACCCCAACUUUUCUCAUCUCACAGUACAGCCUAAGCGCCUCGUUAUACUCCCCCUGCACUACAUUAGCCCUUAAUAUGGAGUUCCACAAAAGCAUAUUUCUCGUAAUGAAACUUUCAUCAAGCGAAGAAAUUGUGUCAAACACCUUGCGUGCAUCCUUAAGAAGCCCAAAUUUUGAGUACACAGAUACAAGUCUGGCAGCCAAGAAAGGCGACAAAAACGUUGAAGUGUGAAUGAUCUGAGAGUGGGUUUGCUUGAGUUGUCUGAGAUGGUCUCCAUUGAUGCAUUGCUGAAGAAGGUGAUCAAAGAAAUCCACAAGCCCACUAUCAGCCGCAUUGCUUCUAGUCUUGCUAUUUUGCCCAAUAGAUGGAGUGGUGAGACAACGAGAAAGGGAAUGGAAGGGACGCAAUACUGAAUUUGAUGAAUGAGAAGCUAUAGUGACAGCAGCAUGAAGCAUUAAUUCACAUUUCAGGGUUGUAAAUAUGCAUAAGCAGAAUAAGAAACACUACUCCAUAUCUGUUUUUGACAUCCACCCUUGUACGAGUUUGGAGUUUCCUGUCCAAACCUUGGGAGUCAUGGUCUCACCGGCAUAAACUUGCAUAAGAACAGAGUAGCAUAUUGCCAGGCACCAUUUCAGAUAACAUGACAAUAAAAAAGGCAGAGACCCAAGGUGAGAUGGGCUACGCUGCCCUGGUUGCAGCAAAUAUUUAGACAUUCAAAAUUUAAAUAACAGUAAAAAGCGGAGGGUAAAGAAAAUCCGAAUCCCAGGCAGUACACUGUCGACUGAUUGAGAAAAAAAUGACACACCAAUGAAUGAACUGUUGAGUGAUUGAGAAAAAAUGAAAAAAAAGUGUGGGUUACCAGGCGUGGUUACAAGUAAGUAUACAAUGCUCAACAUUUAGGUGGUAGCUCGCAGCCUUGACACAAAGAUGCAUUAGACAAUAACAAUGGUAGAAUGACAGAAUACUAAACACUGCUCUGGUAAAAUAGAAAUUCAUAUUGAAUAAUCAAAAUUGCAUAAUGUACAGUUUACAUACAAAAUGUCAUUCCCAUUGGUUUUAUAGCAAAUCACCAUGGGGAAUCUUUUUUCGCCUAUUGCACUAUGUACUAAUGAAAUUAGAGCCACUGGACUCAUAAGAAAAGAAAAUUAGCAAAAAGAAAAGAUAACUAGAAAGAUUCCAUGUAUUUGAUUGGCCAAGUCCUGUCCUACACAUCUUGAGGGAUCCUCAAAUUAUCUCUGCCUUGCCACUGAUUAGGAGGACAAUUUUCCUCUGAAAAAGCAGUCCAAAAUUUUCAAAACACGGGAAAAAACUAUCUGCAAAAUUUGUGGUCCCCCGGACAGACAGUUUCCGGCAAAUAUCCAAAAGCCAAACAGCUAGGAGAAAACUGCCCACUUUGCAUUGAUCCUCAAUCAUGCAUGAAAUCCUACUUGAUACCCGACGAGAAACCAUGUCUUGGGGGGAAGCCAGCCUGAUGCGUUCUGAAAGGCCUCCCAUUACUGAAGUGUCUGUUGUCUGACGGAGCUGCACCAAGAAUCCCAGAAGCGUUUGGAUCAGGUAUACGCGUACCAUUACUCGAGAGUCUUUGAUAAGGAGACUGAACAGGCUGAGCUUGGGAUGCAUCAGCUUCAGCUCUUCUCCGUCGUUUCCAAGCUUCAAAUUUUUCUGUAUCAAUACCUCUGUCCAUUAGAGCGGAGAUCUGAUCCCCAGGUACAGAACCAUUCAAAUGUGAAGGCCCAACUCCAGUUAGCGGUUGCUCCUGUUUAAGUUUCGAAUAUAUCUGAUGAAGCCUCUCGCCUGACAAAUUUGAGAAGCUGGAGACAUAAUUCCAUAAGCGUGUCCUCAUCCCUGUGAACAUAAAACAAUUAGUACCAGAACUGCUGGAAAUGCAGAAAAUAACGAUGUUCAUCCCCUUGGGGACAAGCUGGAAAGAAGAGGAUAGGAAGGAGUUUAAAAACAAACAUACUCUCUUUUUUAUAUGGUCCCUCCUCAUAUUCCAGGACAACUUGGUCAAUUCUCCGUCCAAGAAGCUGUAAGUAAUUCCGAAUUUUGGAAAGCACCUGAUAUCACCAGAUAUUAAGACAACCUUCCAAUGCUACAUCAAGAAGAGAAACAUGAGAUGAAAGACAGUAAUUAAGUGCUAAACCAACCGUUUCUUUGGGGAGAUCGGCACUGGUACUCUGCAACCUCUGUAGACGUUUGAGAGUUUUUUCCUCAUCAACCAUGACAUCUUCACACCAUUCCCUCCAUUUCACUUCCUUGAACUGUUCAUAUACUUCUUCAUUAUCAGACAUCUCACCUUCCUCUUUAACUAAAGGCUCAACUUUUUGAGGUUUUGUAGCUUUGGCCCUAUUUGUCUGAAAGUUCUGACCAGGAGAAUCGGAUUUCCCCUGUCUGCCUUUUCCACGAGCUACUGAAACAUUUAACAGAGCUCCUUUUUGUUUCUUAGAAACCUUACGGCCCAUUUUGAUGUUAGAAUCCUUGCCGCCAACAGCCACAAGUUCCUGUUAACGAGUAUAGACUUAAUUACACAAGUUGACAGAUACUUAAGUUGCUCCAAAUGCAACCUAAGAAGCAACUGGUCAAAAUACACUUCUCAGUAACUGCCAAUAACACAAUAGAAGGCAUGAGAUCAGCGACAAAACUUCAUAGCAGUAUAAAGUAAGAGAUGAGGCCUCAGCAAUUUGACAGUUUGAUUCUUGGAAACCAGCAGUAUAAAGUAAGAGAUGAGCCUUAAGGAAUUUGACAGUUAGAUUCUUGGAAACCAAACACACAGUUGACAAAUAAAAGACUUUAGCCAGAUAGUGAAGGGCUCAGUUCAAUGGCCAACUUGAAUGUGCAGUUUCAGAGCAAAAAUACUACAGGGCACUUUGCAGCCAGAUUUUGGACAGGGUCAUACAACAUUUUGGGUGCUUAGACUGAGCCAAGGGGGAAAAAGCCCUUAGAUGUUAUAAAGGACAACUAGGAGAACCUGACAAACUAGCUAAUUAGAAAGCAAAGUUGAUCGGCCACAUUAAGUUACAGGUCCUUUCCUGUAGACAAUGAAAAUUUCAAAAAAGAAGAAAGGAAAACAUUUUCAGAUUCAUUAUUUUAGCAUUCUGUUUUGUUAUUUCUAAUUUUCAGUUAAUAGAGACAUGCCAUCUUUUCCUGAACUACAAAUUUCAGUUAACAAAAGUUUCUGCACACCUUUUAUGCUUCCUUAGGUGCAUGGUGCAAACAAGCUCUAGAUGUGGAGCCUAAAGGUUUUUAGGAGUGAUUUCUAGAGAUUUCCUUAUUUCUCCUUCUUGCUUCCAAUUCACUACAGUUCUCCACAAUUUUCAGCUUUUAAUUGCUUACCCAUAUUGCUAAAGAGUGUCUAAACAAACCUAUCAGCCCCCCUUUAGCUUGCUGCGGCUUCAUACUCCGUGCAACCUUCCCUCCAACAAUAAGCAUGCCACAAAAGCUUGCAAUAGUAGCUCAGGAAGGUAAUGAUCAAAAUACCAGACAUACAAGAACUAUGAAAGAUUUGACAAACCACAACGAAAGAUCAAAUAUAGCAGAGUCCCACUGUCUUUUUCACACGUGCAUGUCUAGAACCAGCAAUCUCAGAUGUCAUGGAAGGCAUGAGUAGAAAAGCCCCAAUUAAAUAAAUCAACAGGUUACUACUCAAAGAUAAUGCUUUUCCUCACUGCUUUUCAAUCAAAGAAUGGUCCAAAAAUAUCUCUGUUCAGUGUGAGGUAAAAACAUUACAAUUGUUUCUUUUGAUAAAUGACGAGUGAUCCCUUAUUUAACCAUACAUCAACGAAAAACAAAUUUUUUAUCACUACAUAUACGAGUACUUAAAUCGUUUGAUGUUGAAUACAUCAGUACUUUUCUCAAAUUUAUCAACCAAUAUGUACGUUGUCUUCCAAGAAGAAUAACAACAAUGAAGGAACAAACUAUUCAAUCAAUGCAUUCUUUGACAUUAAAAACACCAGUGUUUUUAUCAAAUUUAUCAAGCAUUAUCCACAUCAUCUUCCCAACAAAAAUAAUGUCAAUGAAGGAACAAAUUGGUCAAUCAAUCUUUACUUUUUAGUAAGAAUAAAAAUUUUGAACGACCUAUAAUAGAAUGGGAAAUAUUGACAGGCAGGAAAAAAAUGAACUUCUUCCAACAUAUCUAAUAUCUGCUUUCCCUUUUCCACCAGCAGUAGAAAAAAUGAAUCAAUCAAUUAGAUUAUCCAGUAUCGAAUCAACACCAAAACAACAAAAUGCUGAAAGGAUGACAAAGCUUGAUACUAGCAUUGCUGAGUUACAAAUGAUAUAGCCUACCAUUUCCAACAAUUGUGAACCUCGUUCCUUCAACUGAGGAGCACGUGGCAAGAAUGUCUCAUGGUGCUGAAGUUCCACCGGUGCAAUCUUUUUUGAAAGACCAAGUUUCUCAUCUAAUCUUAUUUUCUCCCAAUUGCCAAAACCAUGGUAAUGGAUUCCCAAAAGCAGCCUUGCAUCAUCCUCUGAUAAGAUGAAGAUGCAUAUAUGCAUCCAUCACUAAAUUUCCACCAACAACUAAAGAUAAGGAUAGAGAAACUCCGAAAGACUAAAAACCUAAUAGAGCACUUACUCUGGUUCCAGCCACAACCUUUGGACCACGUGGCUGGUUUGAGAUAAGCCAGUGCUCGGAAUUGAGAGAUUGGAUCUUCAUACCGGCUAAUGCGCUUUGCUAACAGUUGAAGCUCCUCAACGCGACUUAGUAGCUCAUCUGCUUUUACAGGGACUCCAAAGAAAUCCAACAAAGGACCCUACAAAGAUUAAAGAAUUCAUAUAUUAGCUUAUGACAGGUUUGCAACUCUCAGAACACAAAUCACGCAUCAUAUAGGCAGGAAUCAAAACUUAAUAAUUGGUAACGAUGAUAAAGGAACCAACUUUUGGAUCAAAGCUUUCUGCUUUCAUUGCUUCUCUACAACCAUCGACCAGAGCAUCAUAAAGUUCAACCUGUGCCUCAGUCGGAGCAGCUUCAACUGCUCCGCCAACCUCUCCCACUAUUAGGCUGAUCUGGCUGUCAUUCCCAAACUUUUUAACCUAGUUGAAGAACAAAUUCAAUAAAUUACAGGUAUAAAACCAUCAUUCUGGAGGAAUCGGAAAAGGAUAGUAACAGGGAAGUAAAUAGCAAAAAACAAUUCAUCUAAGAAGAUAGUCAUAAGGCACAUCAAAUCAGAAAGGCCAUCAACGGAUCUUAAGCCGCCAGGACAUUUCCCAAGCAGUGCUAUUAACCAAUAAUAUGCAAAAUACCAGGAUAAUACAACAAAAUUCACCAGACCAGACUACAACUGUAACGAUACAAAAGAGCUUACUGCACGGAAAAAUCGCGUAGCAUCUCUCUUGGACAGGUUCCCAUAGGACCAGCCUCUUACUUGAGCAGUAGCACCCUCAAUGACAGGUGGUGAGUAGCCAGUAUCUGCCUUGCGACGCUUUGAUAGCCUUUCCUGGGAUUCCAUUCCCCUUUUCUUCCUUUUGUUGGUACUUUCAGGAGGAUUUGCCUCUGCAUAGCUCUUAAUAUUCCGAGCAGCACGAGGAGCUAGAGCUUCCUAAUUUCCACAUCAGCAGUAAAAUAAAAGCAGCAUCAGUAGAGGAAAAUCAAAAUUAAGCAAGAAUGGCAAUCACAUGCAUACUUCAGCUUGAGCAAUUGCUUCCGGCUUUAUCAUGCGGCUCCAAAAACUCCCAUCAUCUUCAGCACUGCAGAAAUUUGCAACCUGAAUGCAGUGGCAGAAAAAGAAUAUGAAGCUAACAUGUAAAUAUAACAAAAGUGUACAACUGUUGGCAGAAAAGGUUGAAAAAGGCCAAAUUGAGAAAAGAACAAAAUGAACUAUACAAAACAUGGUUGCAAUAGGAAAAAAAAAUAACAUAUCAAGUAGAACAUUGAGAUGACUUUCAGAUCAGAGACAGAAAAGUGACAGGAUUAAAGAAACUUUAAAACCACCGAUAUGAUAAACAAAAAGAAAAGAUCUUGUAGUCAUCUAAACCAUAAGCAGGCACACUUGCCUUAAAAGCACUGAGAAGUUCGUGUCCUUCCUCCUCACCAGCUCCCGUCUCU
rnacentral:lncRNA from 1 species